CGGAGGAUGCAAGCGUUGUCCGGAUUCAUUGGGUUUAAAGGGUGCGUAGGCGGAGAAUUAAGUCAGUGGUGAAAGCUUGCAGCUUAACUGUGAAAAUGCCAUUGAAACUGAUUUUCUUGAGUUCGAUUGAGGUAGAUGGAAUGUAUCAUGUAGCGGUGAAAUGCUUAGAUAUGAUACAGAACACCAAUUGCGAAGGCAGUCUACUAAGUCGAUACUGACGCUGAGGCACGAAAGCAUGGGGAGCAAACAGGAUUAGAUACCCUGGUAGUCCACGCCCUAAACGUUGAUUACUCGUUGUUGGCGAUACACUGUCAGCGACUAAGCGAAAGCGUUAAGUAAUCCACCUGGGGAGUACGAUCGCAAGGUUG
rnacentral:rRNA from 1 species